GUUGGUUUCGAUGAUGCAGUUUUGAUUUAGUUUGUUGGUUCCUUGCUCUAUUUCUUGUAAGCUGAAUAUCUUCAUUCUUUCUGCAGUAUCUUUGUUUGAAGAUGCCAAAUGCUGUGAAAGUAAUUCAUGAUUUACUAGUUUGUAUCAGUUUUUUUUAUUUAUUUUUCUCCUAUAUUUCUGAUUAGCCUAAUUGCUGAUGCUUUCAGUUUGAGGCACAACUUGACUCAAAACUGAAUAAUGCAGUAGUAUAUUAUCUUUGUACGUCCUAUUAUCUCCUCCAAGUACUAUGGCUGGUAAACUAAAGCCUCUUCUGAUUUGCACCAAUCAGGGGUUACAUGUGUUCUUUAACAGGUAUGAAUGAAGCUAUGCUGUUAAUUUGUUAUAUAAUGAUUUAAGCCCAGCAGAUUGUUAGAAUGUUUAACCUAAGUUGAGCGUGUUAUCCAAUCUGCCUAGAAUGUUUACAGGCUAUGCUUUAUGCAAACAGAGGUAGGCAUUAACAGAUGCAAGCUGGCUCCGCUAGAUGGCAUCUAAUCUAUUUGUCAGUGCUAUAAAAACAUAUCUUCACAACUAUAUUGAGCUUUCACUGCUGCCCUUUGUAUUAAAACAUGUUAACGCUGGAUGUGAUACUGGCAACAUGAAUUAUCAGCUACCUAGAAUGUUACUGUCUGGAAAACAUAAUGCUAAGUCUAUCUGCGUAUUUGACAAUUUUCCUACUUACAUAUGAUGCCAAGUGUGCAUUAAAGUUUAUGCCCUUUUUGUUUGAUUGUCAGGCUGUGGCUGUAUACCGUUUGAUGUUGUGAGCUCUUGUUGCGGUACCGGAUAAACUCUUAAUAAUCCAUGCUUUCUGUGGAUUCUGUCUCCUCGUUAUGUCAGAUUGCAGAUAAAUUUUCAGGUCUUCAAGGAGACGUGGGAUAGGGAGGCAGGGUGGAGAUGUGCGCCGGAGAUCAGAAAUCUGACUGCCGGCGGCCGCCUCCAGUGGUUGUCGUUUGGUGGUCAGAUAGCUUGACCAGGGCACGAAAGCCAGGCAAGACCACAAGACUAAGAGGCAAACUCUUUUUUUUUCCUGUGAUGAACCACCCUUUUCAUUUGCCACUUGGACAGUUUGCUCUAUUCACGCCCUGUUUAGUUUGCUCUAUGAAAAUAUGCAAAGAUGGCUACAAACAAUUGCAAACAUGCCAUUUCAUCAAUUAUACUGUGUUGCCAGUUUAGAAAGUGGCAAAGUGCAUCAUUUCAUUUAUUUUUUCCGAACUCCCUUUUCGUGGUGUUUUCUAAUUUGUCUCUCUGUUUCCUGAUCUAACUCAAGUACUGUUAUUUAGCUUGCAAGGCUGGUGAUCCUCGGCAUGGAGAAACGAGGAACCCAGACGUUGGAGAUUUUUUAAUUUCUUCAUAUGUAAAAAUGGAUCUUGGUAAGUAGUUCCCUCAUGUAUGAAGAUGUGCCAUGUGGCUAGUGCCAUCAAACUCUUGUUACCCCAACCAAUAUACUAACUGCAAUAUUCUUUAACUACUCAAUCAGAACUGCUCCUCAUACUGGCAUGUUACCGAGAUGUUUCCUUGGUGUUUCCUCUGACAAAUAAUUUAUGGAACCAUUUAUUAAAAAUUGUAUCUAUGUGGUUUGACUGAACCCUAGGAAUGUAACCCUACGUGCAUGGACUGUUCCAAGUUCAUGGUAAAUUAAGCAGCCCAAUGUGUUAAUGCAAUUGCUAUUCCUUGUAGGCAUCACGAAAUGUUCAGACUAAAUUUGAUAUAUCUUAUAAUUCUACUUGAAAAGAUGAAUAAGGCAACAAGCCAUUCAAGGAAUUGCCAGUCUGAAGCCAUGUAGUGAGUUGAGAAACACAAUUGCGUUAGUUGCAGCCAAUUCAGAGGCAUGCCCGAUGAAUGUGGUUCAGAACAGUGAAUAUUUGUGUAUUUGUUCAAAAAGGCUAAAUAGUGUUAGUUUCUGCCACAAGUACAUAUACAGCUAUACUAAACCUGAUACAUGCAUUAUAACUUACUUUCACGCUGAGUUUUUUUUCCAUUGUCUGGGAUAGAAACCUGUGCGCUGACAUUCUUUUUGUGUUGGCAACCUUCUGCUUCUGGUGUUAUAAAGCUGUCUUCAUUUUUACUCAGUGCCUCUAAGAGCAUUGUUGCGGAAUGGUUUACCGAAAGUUUUGGACACCGCAGCUGAUACUGUUAUAUCGACAGUUGAAUCCAGCAGCUGCUUACGCAUUCAGUUCUUAAUUAAAAAAAAGAGUGACGUCAGGAGCUAUAACCUAGAUUGAUCUGAGGUGUUGCAUUUGCUGGCUAUUCUUUAUGCAAACCAGAGCUAGGCUCGACAGAAACUAACUUCCACCUGAUGGGAUUUGUUUUUCAGCGCUGUAGAAAUAUAUCUGCACAAGUAUAUCAAGAUUCUACUGCUGAACUGUGCUACCGAAGAGGUUUCUGCCCUGGGAGCAGAUAAUUAAA